ensembl:snoRNA
AUGCUUUUGUGUUUCAUAAGUGUGAUGAUUGGGUUUUCACACUUAUAUGUGAGAUGUGCCUCCCUCAAACCUUGUUAGGAGUAGUGGCUAGACACAUCACCUAUCUCACU